rnacentral:rRNA from 1 species
GAUCAUGGCUCAGAACGAACGCUGGCGGCAGGCUUAACACAUGCAAGUUGAACGGGAUUUGUGUGGUGCUUGCACCAUAUAAUGAGAGUAGCGCACUGGUGAGUAACACGUGGGAACGUACCUUUUGGUGGGGGACAACAUCUGGAAACGGAUGCUAAUACCGCAUAAGACCUGAGGGUGAAAGAUUUAUCGCCGAAAGAACGGCCCGCGGAAGAUUAGGCAGUUGGUGGGGUAAAGGCCUACCAAACCUACGAU